UUAAAAAAAAAAGGGGAGUGAUUAUAUUAUAAUAUGAUUAGUGGUAUGUCUAGGGAAGUGCAAGUACUCAGGGAGAUCUUCUAGAAAAAAUGACUGACUCAUAUUCUAAGUCAAGAACUGACUCAUCUGGAAUAAGGUGUGUGGCAGAGGGUGGAAGAGGUCUGUGUGCCACGCUGAAUCACCUGCUAUGACACAGGUGUGUCUUCAAAGCUAUCGGAGCAGGAGCAAGGGGGUGAUGAGUCCUGUCUGAGGCUCUCGUAAUGCAGAAGCUAACAUGUGGGUUGGGUCUAAAGGAACGAGAGUCAAAGUGUAGCUGGAAGUGAUGGAAAAGCAUUCCAGGCAGAAGGAAAAGCACAGGAUGGAGCACAAAGGCAAGGUGCACGUCACAUUCUGGUGACAGAGGAGGUUCUGUGUCAUCAAAGUGUUGCUUUGGGAAGGAGGGCUGGAGCAGUCUGCGUGUCAUGUUCAGGGUGGGAGCAAAAGCAGAAGAAAAAGGCGCCAAGGCCAGGGCAAGAGAUUAGGGCCAGGUGGUGAAGCGCCUGUUCGGCUGUUGUGAAAACACUGUAAGUGGGCAGGAAAUGAACAUCAGAGAUUCAGUAAAGCAGCGCGCAUACACCCAGCUGCUAACCCAGGGGGAUAACUGAGAAUCGAAAAGAGGAAAUGGUUUCUGAGAAACCAGAGAAAGUAUUGCACAGAGCACUCAGCUCAGAGGCUUUUUUUUUUUUUUUUUGCUAUAAAAUCGAGCAAGCCCUUCCUGCGGCACAGGGUUGACCACAUCAUCUGCAGGGCCCAGAGCAAACUGAAAAUGUGGAGCCUCUUGUUCAUAAAUGAUGAAGAAUUUCAAGAUGAUGAGAGGAGAGUAUUAACUCAAGUGCAGGACCCUUCUAAGUGUGGGGCCUUGUGUCACUGCCGAGGUCACAGCCCACAAAGCCAGGGUUGCUGAAGUAUUGGUGCUAAAGGGCACCUUGUCGCUAAUGGGCAGAGUGCAGAUUAAUUGCUUAAGAAGAAAAGAUGGCUGUUCCAUGAGUGGAAAGGUACAGAGUCCUUGGUGCUCAAGAUAUGGCCAUCAAGAUGGAAGCUUUAACUGGAGAGCCUGUGAAAGUGCAUAUUUACAGAAAAGACAGAGCUUUUAUUCAUAUAACCUGAUUUUUCAUUUAUGUUAAAAUUUAUUUGGUUUUAUGGAAUGAGGAUUAAAGUGUUCAUCCAGCA